UACGAAGGGGGCUAGCGUUGCUCGGAAUCACUGGGCGUAAAGGGUGCGUAGGCGGGUCUUUAAGUCAGGGGGGAAAUCCUGGAGCUCAACUCCAGAACUGCCUUUGAUACUGGCGAUCUCGAGUCCGGGAGAGGUGAGUGGAACUGCGAGUGUAGAGGUGAAAUUCGUAGAUAUUCGCAAGAACACCAGUGGCGAAGGCGGCUCACUGGCCCGGUACUGACGCUGAGGUGCGAAAGCGUGGGGAGCAAAAAGG
rnacentral:rRNA from 1 species